UACGUAGGGUGCGAGCGUUGUCCGGAAUUAUUGGGCGUAAAGGGCUCGUAGGCGGUUUGUCGCGUCUGCUGUGAAAAUCCAGGGCUUAACCCUGGACCUGCAGUGGGUACGGGCAGACUAGAGUGCGGUAGGGGAGAUCGGAAUUCCUGGUGUAGCGGUGAAAUGCGCAGAUAUCAGGAGGAACACCGGUGGCGAAGGCGGAUCUCUGGGCCGUAACUGACGCUGAGGAGCGAAAGCAUGGGGAGCGAACAGG
rnacentral:rRNA from 1 species